rnacentral:tRNA from 1 species
AGUGACUGUGGCUCAGUGAAAGAGCCUCUGCUUUGCAUGCAGAAGGUCCCAGGUUCAAUCCCUGGCAUCACCA